CAGAGGGAGAAGCGGGCUCACCGCUGAGCAGAGAGCCCAAUGAGGGGCUCAAUCCCUGACCCUGAAAUCAUGACCCCAGCAGAAGGCAGAUGCUUAACUGACUGAGCCACCCAGGUGCCGCUGUGAUUAUGUUUUAAAGGGCCCUUUUCUUGGAGACAUGCAUCCUGAAAUACAGAAGAAAUAACCCAAUGCCUGAGAUGUGCUUCAAAAAAACAAAGACAGGAGGGGGCAAGUGGGUUGUGGGUAAUUGAUGGUCAGAGCUGUGUACUGGGCACACAGGGUUCACUGUACUAUUCUGUGGACUGCUACCGCACAUUCAAAAUUCUUUUUAAUUCAAAAUCAUAGAAAGGGACCGGGUAAGGUCUGAUUUCCUACUCCCACUGUCAGCACAGUCCCAGAUUUCUCCCCCUGGACCAACCCCACAAUGUGAGGAGCCUUACAUCUGAAUCAUCCCUGCUUCCCACAAAAACUGCGGCAGGAGAGGUUUCAGGAUAGACAAAUGCUUUAAUGACAGUCCCAAUGGCAGCUUCACACUCCUCAAUGGCUCAGUGACUUGCGACUGUCGUGCAGGUGGUGAAGGACGAUCUGGAUGCUGGAAAGUGUGCUCAAGUGCCAGAUCCAGCAGGGCUUGUGCUUGCAUUUGAUGUUGUUCGGCUGAUACUCGUUUCCCUGCACUUUUCUCCAGUUCUGUUGUGUGGUGGGGAGUCCUGAGCUGUGGGGGAGCCCCAGCUAGACCUGGAGCUGGAGCCACCUGACAGGCCUAACUGGAGACCUCAGGAUCUGACCAAGUGUUUACAGUGGUUUUUAAUUUUAUUCAGUCAGUCAUAUCUGUAGAUAUUUCCACUUAUAAUUUAGGGUUCUGUGUCUUGCUUAGAAAGGUUAUUUGUUCCAAGCUUCAUCAUGAAAAUAUUCUCCAAUCUUUUCUUCUAGCUUAUUUAUUUAUUUAUUUAUUUUGCGUUUUUGUUGUUGUUACUGUUGGUUUUGUUCAUUUCUUUAUGUCUAGAUCCUUAAUCCAUCCAGAAUUCAUUUUCGUGGACGAUGUGAAGAAUACAUCUUCCUAGAGAAUUUUAUCAUGUUUGGCUGCUACUACAAGUGAGAUAUUUUCCCCAGUGCAUUUUCAGAGUUGUUAAUGCUGGCCUAUGGACUACAUGCUUACUCUGAAGAUUGAAUUUCAUCAUCUCUCACUGUCUCAUCUCAAUAAGGACUAGAUGUUUGUGUUGAAGGAAGAUCCUCUCAGACUGCUCAGCAUGCCAGCUAUGUAGCUAUUAAGAAUUUUCGCCAGGAGUCCAGAAUGUCAGCAACUGCUGUGGCACUGAAGAAGGACCCCCCACUGUUCCUUCCCCUCCCCCAGAAGGAGCCCCCAGGAGAGAAGACGAAAGCCCUGGAGCAGAAAGGGAAGGCCCUGCUUGACAACACCGAGUGGCUCAUCAGGAAAUCAGUCUCCCAGUGGUUCCCCUGCCUUCCACACGGUGGGAGCCCAUGGCAUGGCCCCAGCCCCCGGAGUGGCAGGAGAGAAAAUCACCCAGUUUCAGUGUGACUGAACCCCACGCCUGGGCCCUCCCCCUCAUGCCAUCCUGCCCACUGUGCAGCCGGUUUCACUGGUGAGGUGACCGGCCAGGCUCCCCACAAAGGGUUAACCUGCAGGCUGUCCUCCUGGGCCCUUGCUUACCUGCAGUCCUGACUUCUAGUCACUGGCACGUAAUUCUUUGGUUUGACAACUGCGCCUGAGCGUUCUAACCCCUGGCUGGCCCGGUGGAGUUUGUGUGACCACACUGAAAAGUGACUUCAGUGCUCGCGGUGGUAACUGGCGGGCACCACAGACUGUCCAUGUGGAGCUGGGACAGACUGAGCCAUUGGGACUCCGCAGCCCAGUUCUUUUCCUGUGGCUUCCUGCUGCUGCUGUGGCUGCUGUGCACCCUCGAGGAAGGCACCGGGCCCCAGGGCCCUCCUGGCUGAUAGGUUGUUGUGAGGAUCACAUGAGAAAUAGAUGUGAAAUGCUUCAAGGGCAACCGAUAGUCCUACCGACAACUGGCAUUGUGACGGACAGAAGCACAAGGAGAGUUUGAAUCCAUGUCACCAGCCCUAGUUACUUCACCAGAUUCCUGAAUCAACGGAGAAACAAGAAAAAGCUGGCAUAUCAAGCUCAAACCAUUACCCUUAUUUCGGAUACAUCUGUAUUAGCAAGUGUCACCAUAGGCAGGUAAACAACAUCAGGCCAAUUUACCCAGCCAGUCACAGGCAGCUCUGGGAAACCACAUUCCUCCCCAGCAGGGAAAACUUUGUCCCUAGAAAUGCAGAGUAUAAAACAUUCCCUGGGGGCAGUUUGUUCCCAAAAAAAAGAGAAGCGGGGACUGGUCCAUGCACUGUCAAACUUGGUAAGGUUUCCAAACGUACCAAUCAGCUCAGCUAUUUCACCUCCCCUGGGAAGGAGUAUGUGAAGGGCUGGAGGGAGGGCAGGAAUGUUGCACCAACAGAGCUCCUCCCACCUGGAAGAAUGCACACCAGAAGCACCCUCUUGAGAUGUGAGAGAGACUGUGGUCUGCUUCGUCUAUUUCCUGGCAAACAUGGUCAGAAGCACUGGACCAGUGCCUCACCUCACCACCAGCUGCCUGGGUACAGAGAAGCAGGAAGUGGGCACCCAUUUUUGUCUAGGCAGAUCUAACAGACACAAUCUGGCCACGGAGAUGGAUUCCUAAUCCCUGUCAGAUCGUCUCUGUUUGUAAGGCAAGGACUGGGUUUCUUUGAAUCAUUUUUUAAAUAGUUAACAUAGCUGAGCUAUAAACCCAUAAAGGAAAGGACUCGAUAAUAUGACUGUCUCUGCAGUUGGCCAGCCCAUUCUAGAUACCUGACAAGGACUAAAAGAAUUAAGGAACGGGUGACACAACACAAGAGGAAGCACACUCAAUACACGUUUUAGAGGGGACAGUUUGACCUUCAUCUGUCCUAUUCACCUUGAUCAAUGACCCCUCCUUACUUCUUUCAGCCAGGUUCAGACAUCGAACCUGUUUCCAUGUCAUCAGCAGUCUCUGCUAAUAGUGAAAAUCCUUUGAGGACUUCCCACCUAUGAAAAUAAAUUCUUGUCAUAACAAACAAAAAGGCAAUUUGGAGGAGAGAGAGAUUUCAAAAUUCUUUAAGCCAACAUAAGAUUUUUUUUUUAAAGCACUUCACUUGAUGAGCUCUCAGUCCAAUGCAUAGCAGUGAAUUUGUGUACAUACAUGAUAAAGCCCCUCGAUGUCAAUGAGGGGGCACCAUUAAUAUCCAGGUAUGUGAUUGGGGUCCUUUUCAUAUAGAAUAGGAUAAAUGGUUCCUAAAUACUUGUGAUAUGCUGAAUUGUAUCCCCCGAAUUCAUAAGUCGAAGUCCUAACCUCAAUGUAUGAAUUACCUCAGAAAGUAAUAGUAUUUGGAGAUAAGUUUUAAAAGAGGUGAUUAAGGUAAAAUGAGGCCAUUAGGAUGAGCUCUAAUCUAAUAUGGUGUCCUUAGAAGAGGAAAUUUGGACACACAGACAUCAGACACGUUCACUCACAGAGGAGGGCCAUGUGAGGACACAGCAAGAAGGUACUCACAUGCAAGUUAGGGAGAGAGGCUUCAGGAAAAACCAAACCUGUUCACAUCUUAACCUCCAGAACUGUGAGAAAAUGAAUUUCUGUUGCUGAAGCCACCUAGUGUGGGGUAUUUUGUUAUGGCAGCCCUAGCAAACUUAUAUAACAUUUACUGCAGAAGUCUUCGUCAUGGUGUCACACAAAGAUGUGUUUGGGCAACACAUCCAUAUACUCACCGGGCGCUGGGUAACAAGGAUUGAUAGAAAGUGCAACUGACAGAUAACACAAGUGAUUGAGUUAUACUAGAAGGAAGCAAUUGGCAAAACUUUAGAAGUCUCAAGAAAUUGGACACUCCUGGACACCUGUAGCUAAAUUUUCUUACCCUUAAAAAUUAUUCUUUUAAAGAUUUUUUUAUCUUCUCUCCCACUUUGCCUGCCUCCCCCUCUUCCCUCUAUCAUCCGCACCCCUGCUGCCACCACACCUACACGCUCUCCAACGGGCUUUGACAUCCAUUUCUGCCUUUGCUUAAUAAAAAAUAAAGCAGCUA